UUACCGAACGAAACAUGCUAAACAUGCAUUGUUGUGAACACGUUGUCAGACACGAAGUCGACUGAGCAGAACCAGUCGCAACAUCGCGAAGGCAGACGCGAUGUUUGAAGGUUGGACACCCGUACCGACACGUUCGGUGACGAGGAGAUGACGAAGGAAAAUAGAGCAGAACUGACGAUGAUGGUAGUGACAAGCAUUGCAUACUCGUUGAAACUUCGGGGUACCUGUCGGGCUGCUGCCGACCGACCGUAUUUGUCGGCGUGGCCCGGUGAGCAGGUCGCGGGAGUUCCCCGCGGCCUUGCGAAGGUUCAAAGAAUCGCCGACCGUAUUUGCGAUCGCCCCGAAGCCAUGUCUCUUUGUCUUUUCGUACGGUUGCUAUCCGACGCCUGCCGGCCGACGGAGACCGCCCCGGUCGUCUGGGGUGGACGAAGUCGUGCCGCGAUACGGCGCUGCCCACAAUUGUGUAAAUGGUGAUACAACUCUAAGCGGUGGAUCACUCGGCUCGUGUGUCGAUGAAGAGCGCAGCCAGCUGCGUGAAGUAAUGUGAAUUGCAGGACACAUUGAACAUCGAUAUCUUGAACGCACAUUGCGGCCUCGGGUAUUCCCGAGGCCACGCCUGUCUCAGGGUCGGUUGAACUUAUCUAUCGUCGGUUGACCGUAUUUGCCGACGCAUUGGAUCGUCGCGGAGCGCUGACCGUAAAGGCGCGAUCGGCUGACCGUAUUUACCGAUCGCGCUGCGCGCCACGUCGUCCGAAGUACAGACGGGUCUGCCUAUGCUUUGCCGACCGCACGUCCUAAAUCCGCCCUUGCGGACGGGGACGGCGACUCGGACCGUAAGAGAAGCCGUCGCCUGUUGCUCUGGCGGUACGGUUGGCGAAGCGCUGGCGGACCCACGAACGAGAAGGCGGGGGUCGUCGGCGGCGAAGCGAUUCGUCGUCGUCGGCCGUCGUCACCUUCUUCUUCGACCUGAGAUCAGACGAGAUUACCCGCUGAAUUUAA
rnacentral:rRNA from 1 species